rnacentral:rRNA from 1 species
UACGUAGGGUGCGAGCGUUGUCCGGAAUUAUUGGGCGUAAAGAGCUCGUAGGCGGUGUGUCACGUCGGCCGUGAAAACCUGCAGCUUAACUGUGGGCGGGCGGGCGAUACGGGCAGACUGGAGUACUGCAGGGGAGACUGGAAUUCCUGGUGUAGCGGUGGAAUGCGCAGAUAUCAGGAGGAACACCGGUGGCGAAGGCGGGUCUCUGGGCAGUAACUGACGCUGAGGAGCGAAAGCGUGGGGAGCGAACAGG